rnacentral:rRNA from 1 species
AUUGAACGCUGGCGGCAUGCCUUACACAUGCAAGUCGAACGGCAGCACGGGAGCAAUCCUGGUGGCGAGUGGCGAACGGGUGAGUAAUAUAUCGGAACGUGCCCAGUCGUGGGGGAUAACGCAGCGAAAGCUGUGCUAAUACCGCAUACGAUCUAUGGAUGAAAGCGGGGGAUCGCAAGACCUCGCGCGAUUGGAGCGGCCGAUAUCAGAUUAGCUAGUUGGUGAGGUAAAGGCUCACCAAGGCGACGAUCUGUAGCUGGUCUGAGAGGACGACCAGCCACACUGGAACUGAGACACGGUCCAGACUCCUACGGGAGGCAGCAGUGGGGAAUUUUGGACAAUGGGCGAAAGCCUGAUCCAGCAAUGCCGCGUGCAGGAUGAAGGCCUUCGGGUUGUAAACUGCUUUUGUGCGGAACGGAACGGUGAGCUCUAAUACAGUUUGCUAAUGACGGUACCGUAAGAAUAAGCACCGGCUAACUACGUGCCAGCAGCCGCCGUAA